rnacentral:lncRNA from 1 species
GGCUGAAGGGGUGGCGGGGCGGUGGCGGAGCGGUGGCGGGGUAGUGGCAGGGAGGUGGUGACUGGCCGGGGGAGGGGUGACAUUCAUGUUCUUAUCAGGAAAAGGGGGCGGGGAAGAGGUAGGUGUAAUGACGGGUAUCUGCCCCGGACCUCUGGGACGUGCCACCUACUACCAUCCGUAGUAGCAGGGUGUGCCACGCGAGCUGACGAACAGCACGAAGUGCCGCAGCGCAUGCGCGGAUGUGCACAUGUGUGCAGCUGGCAAUCGCAACUUGAGGUGCUGUGUGAAUUGCAUCGCGUUGUGCUGCAGAUUCAUAACAUGCUUUGGGAAUAGAUGCGAUGGGACGGGGUAAGUGGCAGGAUUGCGUAGUCCCGUGGUGUGCACAGCGUAUGCUCUGUUGCCAGAAUGUUUAGGGCUGGGUAGCGGUACAAGUGAGGCGGGCAAGGCCCAUUCCCUUACGGCUCUAGGCAGAAAGAAGCAAUGGGCUGAAGUGACGCUGGAUGAGUGGCCAGUCUGGUCGGUAGGGUGGCCGGUGUGCUCUCAGGCUUGACUGCCAAUAGACCUCUGAUGAUGACACGAGCUCACGCCGUCUGCUUUGUGAACGUGUACAGGAUGCGGAAGACUGGCUACAUGCAGCAGGCCAGUCCCCACCACCCCGUGAGGGGCCGGGAUCAGUAGUCCUUACCUUACUAAUGUGUGGAAAUGGACGGUCUUAACUCUUCACUGUCCCACUGAGUGCAAUGCUAUUUCUGCCUGGAUCUCCUGCCGCACUGACCAGCUCUGGCUACACGUGUACUCCGGUGCCCCUCCCCUCCCCCCUUUGCCCGUGCCAGCCGUCCGUCAGCCCCCCUGGUCAGCCCGGAGCGAGCAGAGUGGGAAUUUUGUCUUUGUAUUGAAGCUGCAAUAGCGGCAUGUACUGGGAUGCCGAACAGCUAAGGUGCUGCGGGAACUGGUAGGAGCCCACGAGUUACGGCCCCGCAAUAGCGGGGGAAUUGUGUGCAGGGUAGUGUACACAGAAAAUAUGACAAUACCAAACAUAACAAUAAUAAUGGGGUGAUUACAGGACAGGCAGCGACAGUCUCCCGUUUCACAAACUUUCUCUAGGUGCUUUUCCUCCUUGAUGUGAAGUAUGGACAUAUCGACGAAACAACAAUUUCGAGCACUCCUUGAGCUCGCACUGUCGGCUUUGUGCUGGUGAAAUGGAGGGCCCUGCCCAGCCUGGCCCCCCAAACGCAGCAGGUGCGAGCUGCUCCCUCGCGGAGCGCCCUUCGACCCAGACAAAUGCAUACGUAGCACCAUGCAUGCGUAUGCAACCCAGCAGCUGCUCGCCCUCCCAUCAUAGUCUCUCAUUGUUUUCCCCCUUGCCGCGUGUUCUGAAACCAGGCUGUCGCUGGGAGAGGCUCCCGCUGCUGGCCCCCGGCGCCCGGCCCCAACAGCAGCGGCAGCCAGUCUGUGGUCCUGAGGCCGCUGUACGUGAAGACGCUGACGGGCAAGACCAUCACGCUGCAGGACGUGCACUCCGACCUGGACGUGUACGACCUGAAGUGCAUGGUGCGUUACUGUUACAGUUAUAGUUUGCAGUUAUGAUUAUAGCUGCAGUGUUUCAUUAGUUGGUGCCCAGUAUGUGGGGAACGCGGGCAGUGGCUGUCCAUGCAUGCCUCCUGCCAGUGCCGGUGGCUUGUGCUGCUCCCACGUUCAACGCGCCGUUACCGGCCCCGAGCCCCUACUGACGGUUUGCUCCUGCUGCUUCUACUAUACCGCUGCUGCUGCCGUCUGCUGCGGUCGCCCACAGAUUGACGAGCUAGAGGGCAUCCCACCGGACGAGCAGCGGCUCGUCUUCGCGGGCAGGCAGCUCGAGGACGCUGACACCCUGGCGUCCUACAACAUCUCAAAGGAGUCCACCCUGCAUCUCAUCCUGAGGCUGGGCCACCCAGGCGUGGCGAUCCAGGUGUCAUGAGGGGCGGCGGCUGGCGGCGGGAGUGGCGGGUGGGUGCUGGCGGGUGCGGUGGAUGUGGUGGCGGGUGGCGGGCGGCGGGUGGUGGGUGAUUGCCUGCUGUGGGCGCGGCUGAAGGGGUGGCGGGGCGGUGGCGGAGCGGUGGCGGGGUAGUGGCAGGGAGGUGGUGACUGGCCGGGGGAGGGGUGACAUUCAUGUUCUUAUCAGGAAAAGGGGCCGGGGAAGAGGUAGGUGUAAUGACGGGUAUCUGCCCCGGACCUCUGGGACGUGCCACCUACUACCAUCCGUAGUAGCAGGGUGUGCCACGCGAGCUGACGAACAGCACGAAGUGCCGCAGCGCAUGCGCGGAUGUGCACAUGUGUGCAGCUGGCAAUCGCAACUUGAGGUGCUGUGUGAAUUGCAUCGCGUUGU